GUGGGGGUGCGUACGAUCGCACAGGAAGAAAGGGGCACAAACCCUAAUUCAAGAUAAACCUUCAAACUGAAAGGGGAAACUGGCUCUAAUCGGAUGCAUGAACCUAGAUUCUUAAUCAUCUAGACUUUCUACACAUGAGCUUGACUCUUGACAAGCUAUAUGGGAUCUUGGAGAAGAAUGGGUUAAACGGAUCAAGUACGCAAAGAAGCUCUAAAGGACACAAAGCAAGUAAAGCUUACAUCUUUUGUAGAAUAUGAAUUUGUUUUUAUGAACUAUAAAUACGAUAAAAUCGAAAUGUGGUUUCCGACACGAUAUGAUACAUGUCGGAGUAGAUAUAAACGAUAAAAACCAUGGUUAAUAGUAAAAAGGGGCAAAUUGGUAAUUUAGUCAUGAAUGACUAAGAUUUAAUGAGUUUUCGUUAAGGUUACCUUAUAGUGUAACUAAUAAAAGAAAUAGCGGGGUAAAAUCCGAAAUGGGUCGGAUGCGUGAAUUUGAAAUUAAAAUAUCAAGUUUUAUAAACAUUAAUAUUUGGUCAGUUAGACCACACGGGUCAAAUGGUAGUGAUAAUACCAUUUGACAAAUUCAAUUAAUGUUUGGUUGGCAAGUCACUUGUUCAUAGGAGCGAAUAGCAAUUUGGAUACUUGCGUCGCCAUAAAGUUUCGGCUAAUAAAGCGAGGUAUAAAAACGGGUCUAUGCGUUGACUCGAGCAAGGUGGCGUGGACUUAGCAUCAUUACGAAGAAAAGAAGGUUUGAAGAUCGAGUCAAGAGCGAGGGUUGUACGGGAAGGAUCGGUCACAUAAUUUGACAAAAAAAAUAUAUAGGUCUUGAAGUAUUAAUAUAACGGGACGUGGUAAAUCCUUUUUAAUGAGUGUAUGAAUUUUUGUAGUUGAACCUUCCUGUAAGUGUUAUGUCUAGUAAAUAACGAAAUUUUUGGGCUCUUAUUUUCCGCUGUGACGUAAUUUAA